UUUCGUUAACUGUAAGGGUUUCAAGUGCACAGCUAAUUAUACAAUAGUUAUAGUUAUUUUUAUUGUGUUAAUGUUUUAGUCUAUGAGAGUAGUUGAAGUUAUGCUGAAAGCCUAGUAAAAACUGUGCCAGCGGCUGCGGUUAUACAGUUGGGUUAGCUUGAUAAGUUAUUUUUAGAUUUUAGGGAGUUUUUGUAGUGGUGAAAUACGUUCAGAGGCUGUAAAAGUGCUGUAGGUGACAUUUCUAAACAGAUUAGAUACCUGUGUAGUGGUGUAAAUGAAACAUUUGGGGAAUAUUUAAACAGUGUGGCGGUAUGCUUGAAAAGUAGGGGGACUUGGGCUGGAUAUUUAACCUAAAGUAUAGCUAUUUUAUGGCUUCUUGUAUGAUUGUCUAAGUCUAGUGGGGCUUUAGAUAAAUAACAUAGGGGGUAAAUGGCUUUAAACCUGAGUUUUGGUUUUAUUCUGAGUAAAGGAUUUACGAGUAGCGGUAGAAUUGUGAAGUUAUCGAGCAUGAGUACAUAUUGCCCGUCAACACCUGUUAGGUGUAAGUCGUAACAUAGUGAUUCUACUUGAAAGUGGAGUU
rnacentral:rRNA from 1 species